rnacentral:rRNA from 1 species
UACGUAGGGGGCAAGCGUUGUCCGGAAUCAUUGGGCGUAAAGAGCGCGUAGGCGGCCCUGUAAGUCCGCUGUGAAAGUCAAGGGCUCAACCCUCGGAUGCCGGUGGAUACUGUCGGGCUUGAGUACGGAAGAGGCGAGUGGAAUUCCUGGUGUAGCGGUGAAAUGCGCAGAUAUCAGGAAGAACACCAAUUGCGAAGGCAGCUCGCUGGGACGUUACUGACGCUGAGACGCGAAAGCGUGGGGAGCAAACAGG